rnacentral:rRNA from 1 species
AGCGAACGCUGGCGGCAGGCCUAACACAUGCAAGUCGAACGAACCGUUCGGGGUUAGUUGCGGUCGGGGGAGGACCACGUGGGAACUUGCCCUUAGGUUCGGUAUAACUCAGUGUAACUUGUCCUAAUACCGAUGGUGCUCUUCGCGGGUAGGAUUAGUCGCCUCUGGAGCGGCGGGCGUCUGUUUCGCUGGUUGGUUGAGGUAAUGGCACGCCAAGGCGACGAUCAGUAGCUGGUGUGAGAGGAUGCUCAGCCACAUUGGGACUGAGACACGGACCACACUCGGACGGGGGGCAGCAGUGGAGAGUCUAGCGGAAUGGGCGAAAGCCUGACACAGCCAUGCCGCGUGAAUGAUGAAGGUGUUAGGAUUGUAAAAUUCUUUGUGCGGAGGCGAUAAUGACGGUACCGGGAGAAGAAGCCCCGGCUAACUUCGUG